CUCUCCGAGGCCUUGGAAAGCUUAGCAACAGCUCGGGGCCUCGGGGCGGGCGGGGGCCGCGCUCGCCGCCCCCCGCAAUGUCCUCCGGCCUCCACGCCCCCGCCAGAGGCUGCUUCAAGGCUCCGGUGCCUUCCUUGGCGAGGCUCCUGGUCCGAACCGGUCCUUCUGACUCCGGCCGCUUCCUGAGUCCACCCCUCUCCCUGUUUCCCACCUGUGUUCUGGAUCCAUCUUCUUCACGUCUUCCCCUCCGCCUCCCCACGGCGUCCUCACUAGAAAAGUAGUGAGGUUCCCAAAGGUAAAAACAAUGGGCUCCGGAACUGCUGGCCUCUAGGGCAGGUGGACCCUGAGAUCUCUGCCAAGAGACGUUCUGUGGGCUGACGUGGAAGAGUUAUGGAGUGUUGGGGGCAGGUGGAAAGGCCCCUCCCUCAGAAGAGAUGCUCGGCAGGGCUUCGACGAAUGAAUAGGAGUUCUCCCACAGGGCAGGAAUGUAUACCUGGAGAAACUCGGACAAAGGCUAUUGUUAAGAAAAGAGGAAUUCUAGGAGGCCAAAUUCCAAAGGGCAGGGCCUCUCUGACCCCAUCCCUGCUUUAGUCUUUUCUCCUUUUGAUAAGGCCAGAUCGCAGCCUCACAAGGAGCCCCUCAGCCCAUGUGUCUUUGGUGCAACGGAGUCUGGUGGUACACUGCUGACCCACCCCACGGUCUGCCGUGCCCACGUCUGUCUUUGUGUUUAUUCUUCAGCACUUCUUCCCAGUUCACUCUUCCCAAGUUAACUCACUUCCCCCAAUCCCUGCCUUCAAACCGUCAUUGCAUCUGUAUGGCGAGGGUCUCACAGAUCUGCCACCAGCCCAGCGUCAACUUCAGGGCCUCCAUGCCCUCCUGUGGACAUCACCCUUCGACCUUUCCUUCCUUCCCCAGCACCACCAGCCAUGCCUCGGGCUGUCUCUCCCCACCCUGGGCCAGCUCCUGUCUCUGACCACACUCCUUCUCCUCCAUUUAAUGCCUUUCUCCAAUGGAUGGAGGUAGGCUGGGCCAGGACCAUUCAUUUCCGUGUGUCCUCCGGGAGAGCUCUGUCCCAUAGGCUUCAUGGGCUCUUCCUGCCAAUUCUGACCUCCAGGAAAUAGUCCCCAUCACCCCCUGGAGGCCCCUCUCCAAACUACUAGACCCUUGGACUCCACUCUUUGUCACCCUCAUAUGAGCUCUGCCAACAUCCACCAUGCCACAGAUGGCUUCCAAGGCGGCCCCUGGAGCUAGGCACUGCUAACCUAUCUUCCCCUCCACUUGCUGAGGCUGCGCUUCCUCUAACCCCCUACUCCUGGCACCUUACCCUCAACUCCCUCAUAGAGGACCCCAUUGCUCAUUUCUGAGGAGCCCAGGCCAGGCUCCUGAACUUCUCCGCCUUCCCUCCAGUCUCCAGCUCCUGACUGGCACUGAUCGCUGCUGGGCCUUCCCUCCCCGGCUCAGUCUCCUCCACUAAAACCUCCCAACACUCUUGGGCUAUCCUACUCCUUUCCUCUCCCUCGACGCCACAGCCCUAGUAGCGCCCUAGGCCCCUCAGCAGGUCCAGCUUCCUCUCCUGCCCCCCCAGGACGGGAAGGUGACAACGCCACAGGGGCCAUAGGGGGUGUGACGCCGCCGAGGGGCAUCCUAUGACGUCACGGAACCGUUCGGUCCAGGAACCAGGAGUGGGCGUGGGGGCUACCAGGUGAGGACCCCCAGGAGUCCCAGAGCUCCGGAAGGGGAGAGUGAAUAAACAGCGCGUCAGUGUGUAGGAGCCGCGGCCGCAUGAAUGAGCCGCCGCACGAGUACUACGCGCGCCUAUAAAAGCCGCCGCGCCGGCGAGGCUGCAGGAGGCGACCGGGCGCUGGCGCAACGCAGCCCGCCAGGUGCUGGAUUCCAAUUUGAGACUGUUUCUCAAAUUAGUCCUAAAGAGGAGUGGGGCCGAAGGGGCCGAAGUCGGGUUGUGCCAGUUAAGAAGUGUGAGCAGUGAUCUCUUCAAAAACAUUUUAUAGUGUGUGUCUCCUGCCAUUGUCAGCAUUGCCCACUGUAGGCGCUGGCUGUUGGAUAGCAGGUGCGGACUUCCCCAGGGAUAGUGUUAGGGAUGAUCAAUGCGACCCAGCCCCAUCAGCCAUUAAUCCAAUUUUUCUUUACCUCUCCACACUCCCUCCUUUUCUAAAGUACUUCUAAGAAACUGGUUGCUGGGUUGGCCACGGUGGCUCAUGCCACCUAGCACUCUAGCACUCUGGGAAGCUGAGGAGGAGGAUCACUUGAGGCCAGGAGUU